UACAGAGGUCUCAAGCGUUGUUCGGAUUCAUUGGGCGUAAAGGGUGCGUAGGCGGCGCGAUAAGUCCGCUGUGAAAUCUCGAGGCUCAACUUCGAGCUGUCGGUGGAAACUGUCUGGCUAGAGUCCGGAAGAGGAGAAUGGAAUUCCUGGUGUAGCGGUGAAAUGCGCAGAUAUCAGGAAGAACACCCGUGGCGAAGGCGGUUCUCUGGGACGGUACUGACGCUGAGACGCGAAAGCGUGGGGAGCGAACAGG
rnacentral:rRNA from 1 species